rnacentral:lncRNA from 1 species
AGCAUAAAUAAAGGUUUUAUUGGUCAGUUUGGGUGAGUGACAAACUGACAUGCCCCCAAUUCACUAUUCCACAUAGCCAAGACCCUGAGGGGGCAAGAGGAGAAGCUAAGCUUAUUGAUGGUGGGCAAUGGGUGAGAGGUGGAAAGGACUUGAAGGCCUCUGAGGGUUAACAAGGCUACCGGGACCGGAACCAGCAUCCUAGGAAUAAGUCCAGGAUGGAGAAGGCAUCAUCCAGAGCUGGAGGUCUUGGUGAUUUUGGAUCAUCCUAGGACUGCUAUCUGCUUCGUGUUGGGUUACUGCGGUCUCUGUCUGGCCCUCACUGUCCACCACAGUCCAGCGCUCCUCCACUAUCCCAUCUGGCUUAGUGAUUUUGGUCACAGAGAUGCUCUUGAAGUAGAUCUGGGCUGGGGCUGUAGAACCGGGCCAAGACGCUCCUGGGAAACCCGGGAAUCAAGAUCAUUGUCCUCUCUGGUUCUAGGAUGGGGGUCCACAGGCCAUACGUCAUCAAACCCAUGAAAUGGUCUCUGGGAGCCUCAAUCUGGUGCUGGUUUGGGGGAUUCACUUCUUGCAUCACUCUCCAAGACCCCCUCAAAGAUCCUGGGCUGGUGACUAUCUGGAUACUUAAGCAUUGAUUCUCGAAGUGCCUGUCCCUCCCGCAGUCUCUCACCAGGUGUCUCUGACUCAGAACCUGGAAGUUCAGGAGGAUGGGAAGGCAAGGUCCAGGCCCCCAUAUUGCUGAAGAUGCUAUUGAAAUCUUGUACUAGGUCAUCAAAGCCGAAGUUAUCGUGGAAACGUAUCCCUCCUCCUGGGCUGAAGCUGAAGUCAAAGCCAAAUUCCUUGGGCGGGAUGCUGAGGAUUAUCGAACCUUGGGUUCCCACAGCCCCAUGAGCCCCCUUCUUCCUCUUCUUCCUCAUCAUCAUCUUCAUCUCGAGUCAUCCCUCCAAAAAAGGGAUCUCUGUAGCUCUGAGGUCCAGGAAAGCCGAAAAAGCCCCGGAAGAGAUCAAAGAGGCUCAUUCCCAUAUUAGAACUGGAAUCUUUGAACCCCUCCAGUGGUCCAUUCGCAGAAAGGGGAAACCUGCGCAGCCCUGUG